rnacentral:rRNA from 1 species
AGCGGCGGACGGGUGAGUAACGCGUGGGUAACCUGCCUCAUACAGGGGGAUAACAGUUAGAAAUGACUGCUAAUACCGCAUAAGCGCACAGGACCGCAUGGUCCGGUGUGAAAAACUCCGGUGGUAUGAGAUGGACCCGCGUCUGAUUAGUUAGUUGGCGGGGUAACGGCCCACCAAGGCGACGAUCAGUAGCCGGCCUGAGAGGGUGAACGGCCACAUUGGGACUGAGACACGGCCCAAACUCCUACGGAAGGCAGCAG